GACGAAGGAUGGCAAGCGUUAUCCGGAUUCAUUGGGUUUAAAGGGAGCGUAGGUGGCCUUAUAAGUCAGUGGUGAAAUCUCUGGGCUUAACCCAGAAAUUGCCAUUGAUACUGUAGGGCUUGAGUAUAGUUGCCGUUGGCGGAAUAUGACAUGUAGUGGUGAAAUACAUAGAGAUGUCAUAGAACACCGAUUGCGAAGGCAGCUAACGAAACUAUAACUGACACUGAGGCUCGAAAGUGCGGGGAUCAAACAGG
rnacentral:rRNA from 1 species